rnacentral:misc_RNA from 1 species
GUAGGUGAACCUGCGGAAGGAUCAUUAUUGUAUAAACCUGAUGGGUUGUUGCUGGCUUCCAGGAGCAUGUGCACGCCCGUCAUCUUUAUCCAUUCACCUGUGCACAUUUUGUAGUCUUGGAGGUAACAAGCGUGAACGUGUUCGCGCGAGUUUCUCCGAGUCUAUGUAUUUCAUAUACCACACAAAUGUAUUAGACUGUUGGCAUUGGGUCUUAGUACCUAUAAAACACAAUACAACUUUCAGCAACGGAUCUCUUGGCUCUC